rnacentral:sRNA from 1 species
CAGAGCAGAAGCCAGGAGAGGUUUUGGUCUUGGUAAGUGGAGUGGAGGGGAAUACCUUGGUUUCAGCAGUGGGCUCACAGAAUGCUGAGUACCUGCAUACACUGAUACCUUGGUGUUGAGGGCAGUGACCAUACCUUAUUUCCUUCCACCUUUCCUGUCUUAUCUGGACACUGUGCAGUCUGCCAUCUCUACCAUGAUUUUCGGGCCCUGCAUGUUCCUGCCUCUCUGGCCUGUGUCUCCUCAUUGCCCUUCUCUGUAUCUGUGCAGAGCUGUCUACUGUUGGUGACUCAGUGCGUGUCUCGAAAUGUGCACAUAUCCUUAAACAGGUAUUUGAACUUCAGCCAAUCCUUAAUUAAUACUUAAACACCAGCUACUAUUUUGGAAUCACAUUUUGCUGGGACUAGACACAUGCCUUCUCAUAGUGCUUGGCUGUCACCAGCAGCCAAGGCCCUGCUGAAACCCUUUGCAGAGGAGUGACUUGGAGACCCCACCUCUCUUCCCUGCACUGCAUCCUAUCUUGCGCCCUCAUCUCGGUUGAGGUUUUCCUUAGUCUGUAGUCUGGUGGAGCCAUAUUCAGUUGCGCCAGGCUUUCCCAACCCAGACCUUUUCUAGCAACCUUUCAGCAAUUCUUUUUUUUUUUUUUAAGAUGGAGUUUUGCUCUUAUUGCCCAGGCUGGAGUGCAGUGGCGCAAUCUCGGCUCACUGCAACCUCCGCCUCCUGGGUUCAUGCCAUUCUCCUGCCUCAGCCUCUUGAGUAGCUGGGACUACAGGCGCAUGCCACCAUGCCCGGCUAAUUUUUUGUUUGUUUGUUUUUUGAGACGGAGUUUUGCUCUUACUGCCCAGGCUGGAGAGCAGUGGCGCGAUCUCAGCUCACUGCAACCUCCGCCUCCAGAUUCAAGUGAUCCUCCUGCCUCAGCCUCCCAAGUAGCUGGGAUUACAGGCAUGCACCACCACACCCGGCUAAUUUUGUAUUUUUAGAAGAGAUGGGGUUUCGUUGUGUUGAUCAGGCUGGUCUCGAACUCCUGACCUCACGUGAUCUGCCCACCUCCCAAAGCACUGGGAUUAUAGGCGUGAGCCACCAUGCCUGGCCCUUUCAGCAGUUCUAUGGAGUCCUUUUGGGUGUGUCUGACAUGCACUGGUGAUGAAGGUACCUCCUCCCUCUAGUUCAACUCUUAGUAAUAGAUUCAUCUCUGCUUUCAGAUGGUUUGUGUAGAGUGGAGGAUGAGAGAGCCCGUCCUGAGCAUCUGAAGAGCUACAGAGUCAUCCAGCACCAGGACACUCAUAGUGAGGGGAAACCAAGAAGGCACACUGAGCAUGGGACAGCCUUCCCACCUGGUUCCAGUUGUGGGCAACAGCAAGAAGUCCAUGUGGCAGAGAAGCUGUUCAAAUGCAGUGACUGUGGGAAGGUGUUCUUAAAGGCCUUUGCCCUCCUUGACCAUCUGAUAACACAUUCUGAAGAGAGACCCUUCAGAUGCCCAACAGGCAGAAGUGCUUUCAAGGAGAAGUCAGCUCAUAUUAACCCCCGAAAAAUUCACACUGGAGAAACAGCCCAUGUGUGUAAUGAAUGUGGGAAGGCCUUCAGUUACCCGUCUAAGCUGAGGAAACACCAGAAGGUUCACACAGGCAUAAAACCUUUUAAGUGUAGUGACUGUGGUAAAACCUUCAACCGCAAAGAUGCACUUGUUCUACACCAGAGGAUUCACACUGGAGAAAGGCCUUAUGAGUGCAGCAAAUGUGGGAAAACCUUCAGUGUUCUGUCUACCCUCAUUCGGCACCGGAAAGUGCACAUUGGAGAAAGGCCCUAUGAGUGUACAGAAUGUGGGAAGUUCUUUAAAUACAAUAAUAGCUUCAUUCUUCACCAGAGAGUUCACACUGGAGAAAGGCCUUUUGAAUGCAAGCAAUGUGGGAAAGGCUAUGUGACCCGUUCAGGCCUCUAUCAGCACUGGAAAGUCCACACUGGGGAACGGCCCUAUGAAUGUAGCCUAUGUGGGAAAACCUUCACUACCAGAUCCUACCGCAAUCGGCACCAGCAGUUCCACACUGAAGAGAGGUCUUAUGAAUGUACAGAGUGUGGGAAAGCCUUCAAACAUAGUUCCACCCUCCUUCAGCACAAGAAAGUCCAUACUCCAGAAAGGCCUCAGGAGGACAGGUCACAUGGGAAAGUUGUUAGCUGCUAGCACCGUGUUCAUCAGGAAAAGUCUUAUUCCAGAAAGGAGGUUGAGGAGAGUGGCCGUGAGAGUGCCAUCUGAAAGAAGCUAAACCUUGUACAUCCCAACACCCACCCCGGGGAGAGUUCCCGUGUGUGCCUGGUGUGUGGGAAGCUUUCAGGAGCCACAUUGCACUCUGACUUGCCUGGGGCUGUUGGCAAUGUCACAUCACUGUCAGUUUAUCCACCGCCAUCCACCUCUAUCCACCCCAUAAGGUCCCUACAGCAAGUGGGACAGCAGACCUUGUGCUCCUUGCUCUAAACAGUAGAGAAUCAUUAAUGGCGGAGCCCAAAACAGGCCUCAUUCCCUACCCUUGACUGGUUUAGCUGUGGACAUGACCCAUCUCUGGCCAGAGGAGCUGAGCUGGUAUCUGCUGGGGGCUUCCUGGGAAGGUUUACCAUUUUCAUGGACAUGGUUGACAUUACACAUGGUAUUUGUCAUGCCCUAGCAUGGACUGUCUCAUACUGCUAUGGACUGUGUGGUAAUAAAGGCUUUAUUGUUUAAGCCGCUU